UGGGGAAUUUUCCGCAAUGGGCGAAAGCCUGACGGAGCAAUGCCGCGUGGAGGUGGAAGGCCUACGGGUCGUCAACUUCUUUUCUCGGAGAAGAAACAAUGACGGUAUCUGAGGAAUAAGCAUCGGCUAACUCUGAGCAG
rnacentral:rRNA from 1 species